ensembl:lncRNA
CUGAAAUCUCACAUUGAUGUAAACUAUUAUGAACUCAAUAAAAAAAAAUUGCCUGUUACAGCACUUAUUGGCAUGUAAUUCUGGUAGGGCACAUCAUGAUUAUCUGGGUCUCUCAUUUGUAAAUGAGGGAGUUGUAGGAGUGUUCUAGUGCCUUCCAUCUUGAACAUUCUCUCAUUCCAAAGUAGGACUCUGACAUAGCCCUAAUGUGCUUCUAGCUCCCUGCCUUUCCAGGACAUUGACGUAAGGCAGAACAUGCUUCUUAUACUUCUCUAAGGUGAGACUUUGAAUGCACAGCAUAUAAUACAAAGAAUCCUGUACAGCGAGCCCCUUCGGCUCUGUGGGACCAUAGACGAUCUGACCUUCCAUUGUGUGUCUCCACACUGCUUGGGAAAGAGGCCCUAAAGGUGAAUACCCAACGUGUGGAGUUAAGCGAGACCGUCAUCGUGCCGAUUGAAUCUAGCAUAAUUUCAUUUGGCCUUGUUUAAGUGGGUCCCUAAUGUUUGGAGAAUAUGUUUGAGGAAGAACUUUAUAUUUUUUACAGCAUGUUUUGAAUUUACCCCGAUACGGAAAAGAAUUGAUGGGAGGUGACUUAAACGUGGCCCUUUAUGAAAUGAGGUCCAAGGGUUCAGCAACCUCUCAAGUGUCCGCGGUGGCCCAAGAUCCAAGUUAGCGUGGACUGUGUCCUAAGGGGUGACGUUGGGAAGGAGGUUUCUGAAGAAGCAGAGGCAGGAAACAGUAGACAAAAGUACAAAGUGUGGAUAAAAGGAAAAAGAGGGAAACGUUGAUGGAAUAAAAGCCCCGGAGGAGGAGCGCUGUUCUAGAGAUGAUGCGAGUGAAAUAGCGGUGGUGCUCUCGCCAGCCUUGCAAAUUGCUGAAGGGGUUCGCCACUGGUUCAGGUGUUCCAGAAAGGAGUCAGGAGGGAGCGCUGCUAUGGUCUGCACACGUUGGUACCCCACCCCCUCCAAAUUCUUGUGUGGAAACCUGAGGCCCGAUGUGACGGUGUUGGGAGGUGGGGCCCUUGGGAGGUGAUUAGGUCAUGAGAGCAGAGCCCUCGUGUUUGGGAUUUGUGCCCUUAUAAAGGAGACCCCAGAGAGCUAGCUGCUCCCUUCUGCCACGUGAGGUCAGAGUGAGAAGAUGACCCUCUGUGAGGAAGGGGGCUCUCACCAGACACUCAAUCUGCCAGGCCUUGAUCUUGGGCUUGCCAGCCUCCAGAACUGUAAGCAAUUAAUGUGUGUUGUUCAGAAGCCACCCCGUGGACGGUGUUCUGUUCCAGCAGCCCGAGUGGACCAAGACAAGGGCCGUGUACGGCGGGCGCCACUGAGUGUGAGACCUGCGGGUUCCUCCUCGUGUCUGGGGAUUGGCAGUUCUCUUCCCCACUUUACAGACGAGGAAGCUGAAACCCAGAGAGGACACAUCACCUGCCCAAGCGUCACAAGAAAACUUUUGAGACCAAGCUUCUCCCAGACACUAAAGAAAGAGUUGUAAAUCGUCCUGGCCACGAAGGCGGGAGAGGAAGCUGGUUCAGCUGGAUAAAUCCCUGCCAGGGAUGAACCACCGGAGCCCAGCCUGAGUCACUCAGUGAGUCACUCAGUGAGCCACUCAGUGAGUCACCGAAGCGGCCGGCUGAGGAGGCAGGCGGCACCCACAGACGGGAGCCCACCAGGGUCUGCGGCAGGAAGGCGGGGCGCCUACCACAGCAUGGCUUGCCAAGCAGCGCUGUCUCCAAACCCGGGCUCCGAACCUGCGAACCCCUGGCCGCUGAGAAGCGGAACGUGCGCACUUAACAGCUGCGCCACCGGCCGGCCCCUGGACUCUUCUGAUGACUUCUGCCUGCCUUUCUGAAAAUGCCCGUCCUGCCUUCCCCCGACUUUCCCGCCCCAGGCCCCCCAACACUCCCUGCCCCCAGAGCAGAUCCCACCCCUCCGACCUGACUUCUCGGAUACCUGAAACUGCCCAGAGACCCAUUAUUUUUCCGGGACGCUCCCAGGAAGAUAAAUUUGUCCGUUCUCCUUGAUGCGGAUGAAUUUCUCGUCUUCUUUCCCGGGAGCGGGUUUUGGUUGAGAGACGUGAGAGAAGAGGGAAGCCCUAGGGCCCGGGCCCAGUGACGGCGCGCUGCAGACCUGGACAGGAGAAGGGGUUCAGAAAGGCGGGAUCAGCGUAGACUUUCAUUGCAUCAGGCCACACCUUCUGUCUGCGCUCACGCGUGUCUGCCCCUUAAGGACUCUGUCCUUCCCCUCCCGUCAGCCCUCAGGAGAAAGCCCCCGGCCCUGGCUUCAAAUCCCUAUUAACUGCUGUUGGUCAGCACAGCACAAAGCCACCUUUGUGAGAGAGGUUAGGUUAGCUUCUCUUUACUGCUCUAGAAAUCUGGCUGCAGACAGAACUAGCGACCUGGGGCCGGUCUCUGGCACAGUCUCCGGGCGGUGUCCUAACUGGAACGCUGAACGAGUCCCCAGUGCCGGAGCCUUGCGGUGGCUGAAAAAUGACGCUUGCAUUCCCGUCAUCAACCAGAUGGCUCAUGUCGAGUGUCCUGAUUGUUUUGGGUAUUCUUUGUGUGCAACUUUGAGUCCCUGUCUCGUAUUUGGGUCAGAGCAACGGGAAGGACACAUGACUUGCUUUAAAAUUAGCCUCAAACUCAUUGCAUAACCGGUCUCGUUUUCACUAAAUGGAAUGGUUUCUUGAGAGGACAGCAUGGCAUUUGUAGUUAAGUCUGUCUGGUUGAGUUACCUUGGAGAACAUCGUUUCCAUCCACCAGGACUCAGUGUUUCCACCUGUGAAAUGGGGUAGCUUUUGUUUGAAAGAAAAUAAAUGAAGGGUAACAACAUAAAAGUAACCACCUCAUCCAGACCCCCUUCCCCCAGCCACACCACACACACACUCACACUCACACACUCACACACACACACACACACAGUUUUGGGGCUUGUCAGCAGAUGGACAACAAUCUCUUCUAGUCCCCAAAAGACAGGGCAAACAUAGAGCGGAAAGAAAUGCUUACUCCCUAAAUCACGCCAUCGUCAGAGCCCAGUGGCAUGUUCUGAUGGCUUAGUGAGCUCAGAGAAUAUAUUUUAAGUCUUAAGAAAACAAACUUUUCUGUCUGUUUUCUCCUGGGACCGGGACAUAGUCUUCAUACAAAUUCAAAAUCAACAAAAAGAAACUAACAAAAAACCCUCCUGACUGCUGUCCUUCUCCAAGAACAAAUGGUUUCUCCAGAUUUCUGAUUCAUCUUGGCAAUGUGUGCGAAUAAACCCGAAUGACCCCGAGGCUAAAUAGAUGCAAAGAACUAGGCGUGAUUGUGUAUGCCUAGAAUGUUUCUUUGUAACAGCAAACAGUGUUCCCAUGAUCGGUUGAGUUAGAAGAAUGGUCUGUUGUAAUUUAUAUCUCACUUCUGAGGUGGUGGUAAAUUGCCGAGGGUUAGAGCAGAGAGUGCUAAAAGAUGUGGGCCUCUUUUAAGUAGGGGGACAAAGAGGAGGUGACAUUCAGCUAGAAGCCACCAAGCACAGGGUAAAUCCAUCUUACAGCCGGCUGUGUCACCAGGCGAGGAGGCUUCCGGGUGCUCUAAGAUCUUUGCAGCAGACGGACCUGGGUUCAGAUCCCAGCUUCCUGGCCACGUGGCCUCGGGCCAGCUUCCUGCCUUUUAGAACCUCUCUCCGCUCCUCUGUAAAGUGAGGGUGAGAACAGUGCCUUGUGAGGCUUAAGUGAGAUGAUGCUUGUAGAGAGGGCUCUGCAGAGUGCCUGGUACACAAUCAGCCCUGACAAAUGCUGGACAUUGUGGGAAAUUGUACUUAGCCCUCAUCUCCUAGGGCUGCCAUGAUGAAUUACCGCAAAUUUGGUAACUUAACACAACAGAAAUUUAUUCUCUUGCAGCUCUAGGGACCAGGAGUCUGAAAGCAAGGUGUUGGCAGCUCGGUGCUCCCCUGAAGGCUCUGGGGAGUAUCCUUCCCCGCCUCUAGCAGCUUCCAGUGGCUGUGGGCAUUCCUUGGCUUGGGGCUGCAUGCAUCGCUCCAGUCUCUGCCUCCACGUUCAUGCAGCCUUCUCCCCUUCUCCCUCUGUCUCUCUUCUAUUUGUCUCUUAGAAGGACACAUUAUUGUAUUUAGGGCCUACCUAGAUAAUCCAGAAUGAUCUUAUCUCGAGACCCCUAAUUUAACACAUCUGCAAAAAUAAGGUCACAUUCACGGGUUCUAGGGACUAGGAUGUGGGUAUAUCUGUUCGGGGACCACCAUUCAAUCCACUACAGUAAUAUUUAUAUGGUUAUUUAGCAAGCAGUGCAGUACUGGCCAUCACCCUGGGCGGGCGGGCUCCUGGGCCCAUCACUUUAGAAGGCCCUCUGUCACAUGGCACGGGCUCAGUGUAACCCCCAAUGCUGAACAUCUGCAGGUGACUGACACCCUCCAGGCCCCAAGGUAUCCCCUACAUCUUUUGCCCCGUGUUCUCCAAGCAGAAGGUAACCACGCCCAAAGCUGCAAAGGUUUGUAGAGUGUGCCACUGCUGACCUCAGAUCUGACGCUGCCUCGGAGAGCGAAGGAAGAUGCUGGUGGUAGAAGCUCCUGGGAGAGAGGGAAGAUGACGUAGCUGUGCCAUCCUCCUCUCCAAGUGGCCUGCCUGCAACAGUCUCUGGUUUCUCUUCAUGUUCCAACGGAUGGUUCUGGAAUUACUCGUGAAUUAGCACAAUAUCCACAACAGUUCACGGUACACUUAAAUGCAGAUGUAUGUAGGUGCACCAAUAAUAUGUGUGAAGCAUGAUAUCAACUCUUUACAACACUAUAUGGAUCUGUAUAUUUUUAAAUAUUGUUUUAAGAGAUUUUGAAAAUCAUGAAAUAAAUGAUAGUGAUUUAUAGGAUGAAAUUAAAACAUUUGUAACAGUGUCUGUGAUCAUGAAUAUAUCAGAUGCAACCCAAUUACAAUGUUGGUAUAUAAAACUCAUGAUCCAUUUCCAAAUCAAAGUAUUGCUUUAAGAAUUUUAUUGACGAUUUCAAUUGCUGCUGCCUCUGCAGAGCAAAAUUUCUCUACAUUGAAAAUUUAAAAAAACCCAAAGAUUCGAGAAAGGUCAUCUAGUGUGCAUUACUUUUAAUAGGACGCAAAUGAUGUGAAAAUAUUGAUUAUAACAACAUAAUUAGUGGUUUUGCUGAAAUGAAAACCAGGAAGAUUAAUUUUAUGGAUAAAUAUAUAACCAUACAUGAAUUGUGUCUUUAUUGUAUUGCUCAUUUAGACAUAUCAGCCCUUGAGGCCAGCCCCGUGGUCGAGUGGUUAAGUUUUCACGCUCCGCUUCAGCGGCCCAGGGUUCUCCAGCUUGGAUCCUGGGUGUGGGGCUACACACCACUCGUCAAGCCAUGCUGAGGUGGUGUCCCAUGUAGAAGAAGUAGAAGGACCUACGACUGGGGUAUACAAUUGGGUGCUGGGGCUUUGGGGAGAAAAAAUAAAAAGUUUUAGCAUAUCAGCUCAUUAAUCGAACACCCACAAGUGUGCAAUGAUAAUGGAAUAGUCAUUUAAAAUUUUUUGCCAAUUUGACAUCAUAAAAAAACAUAAAUUUCACUUUUUUCCCCAAUUUUGUUGCUAUGAGGAUAUAUUUAUUCAAAUACAAGGCUCAAGCAAGUUUUAUUUAAAUAGACGUUAGAAGUGUGGGCCUCCAUUCAUGCUCUCGCCCCAGGCCCUGCAGUUGUUAGGGGCUGGCCCGACUCUGCUUCAGGGUCUCCAUCCAUAACCUGUAAUCUGCACUUGGUGAGAGUUUUCUGACUUUAGAAUCUCUUGUCCAUCCCUUUGGCAGGAUGACACCUUGCCCAACCAGGAAGGAGGUUAACAAGGCUGUUCCUCCGGGGUCAUCAAAGCCAGUUCACAGGAGUGACACAGCACACCAUGAUCUGCUCUGGGGAGUGGCAUCUCCUGAACAGAGGCCUGGGGCGGUUGGUGUUUG